rnacentral:lncRNA from 1 species
GGCCGCUGCACCGCCUGUUCCCCCUGGGGCUUCCGGGAAGUGUAGUUCUGGGGCGCCGUGUAGGCAGAGGCACUUCCGCCCCGGAAAAGCGAGGCUGCCACCAUCUUUUCGGUCGGGAGGAAGCUCCGAGGCACCCCGCGCUAGCGCCUGGGGAUGUCCGCUACGCUUGAUCCCGGAGACAGAGCCAGCCGUGCCGUCCCACCGCGUCCUUUUCUUCCGCGUCCCUGGGGUCGCAAAGGGGAGAAAGGACGGACUUCUUGGCUGCCCACGGCAUAGCCCCGGGUGCAGGAAAAAAGGAUUCCUGGCUCUUUGAACUUUCCAUCUGCUGUUAAUCCGGGGAAAACCUUAUGAGUUAUGCCUUCUCAGGACUCUGACCUUUCCGAGAAGGAGCAGGAGAAAAUGACCAAGUUUCAGGUAAAUAAGGCAUUCUUUUGUGGCUCCCAAGGUGUGUUUUUACCUUUCAGAGAUUAGGCACAUCCUUUUUUCUCUUCCUUGGAAAGGUUAGUGGAAAACAACAGAUUGUGAGUGCAUGUUCUGGCCAGACUCUGUGUGCAUGUGUGUGUGCUGUUUUAUCUUUAUUAUUUCACAAAACGAUCUCUGAAAAAAGUAAUAGCAAUUUGAAAUAGACAAAAGUAAUGUACACUCCUGCUUUGCUUACAAACCAGCUCUUUGCACUUUCCCGCAUUCCUUUUUCACUUGCAUUCUUAACUCUGUAUUUGCAGUAUUGGCAUUGGUGGGAUCUACAGUUGACCCUCAAACUAUGCUGAACCCCCUGCACAGUUGAAAAUCCACAUAUUAACUUUUGACUCUUCAGAAACUUAUCUUUUAAGCGUACUGUCGACCAGAGGCCUUACCAAUAACAUAAACAGUUGAUUAGUACAUAUUUUGUAUAUGUUAUAUACUAUGUUCUUACAAUAAAAUAAGCUAGAAGAAAAAAAACAUUAUUAAGAAAAUUUUAAGAGAGGAUACAUUUACAGUACUGUAAAAAAUUUGUAUAUAGGGUGGACCCAUGCAGUUCAAACCCUUGUUGAAGGGUCAGCUGUACUUACAUACAUUAAAGAAAGGCUUAAUAACUCUAUUAAGAUUAGUAAGAGGGGGCGCCUGAGUGGCUAAGUUGUUUAAAUGUGUGACUUCAGCUCAGGUCAUGAUCUUGCAGUUCGUGAGUUUGAGCCCUGUGUCGGGCUCUGGUCUGUGCUGACAG